UACGUAGGGCGCAAGCGUUAUCCGGAAUUAUUGGGCGUAAAGAGCUCGUAGGCGGUUUGUCGCGUCUGCCGUGAAAGUCCGGGGCUCAACUCCGGAUCUGCGGUGGGUACGGGCAGACUAGAGUGAUGUAGGGGAGACUGGAAUUCCUGGUGUAGCGGUGAAAUGCGCAGAUAUCAGGAAGAACACCCGUGGCUAAGGCGGCUCUCUAGUACGGUACUGACGCUGAGACGC
rnacentral:rRNA from 1 species